AACGAACGCUGGCGGCAUGCCUAACACAUGCAAGUCGAACGAGACCAUCGGGAGUAGUGGCGCCCGGGUGCGUAACGCGUGGGAAGCUGAACUUGGGGUGAGACUAACUGAGAGAAAUUGCAACUAAUACCAUAUAAUGUCUACGGACCAAAGAUUUAUCGCCGAGGGAUGAGCCCGAGUAGCAUUAGGUAGUGGGUGGGGUAAUGGCCUACCAAGCCGACGAUCAGUAGCUGGUCUGAGAGGAUGAUCUGCCACACUGGGACUGGGACACGGCCCAGACUCCUACGGGAGGCAGCAGUGGGGAAUAUUGGACCAUGGGCGAAAGCCUGAUCCAGCAAUGCCGCGUGAGUGAUGAAGGCCUGAGGGUUGUAAAGCUCUUUUACCCGGGAUGAUAUUGACAGUACCGGGAGAAUAAGCUCCGGCUAACUCCGUG
rnacentral:rRNA from 1 species